UACUACGGCCAUGCCACUCUGAACACGCCCGAUCUCGUCUGAUCUCAGAAGCUAAGCAGGGUCGGGCCUGGUUAGUACUUGGAUGGGAGACCACCUAGGAAGACCAGGUGCUGUAGGCA
rnacentral:rRNA from 1 species